CGUGCGUGCGUGUGUGUGUGUGUGUGUGUGUGUGUGUGUGUGUGUGUGUCCCGCUGGGCGGCAGGGCCCAUAGUGACACGCCCACGCAGAG
rnacentral:miRNA from 1 species